rnacentral:rRNA from 1 species
UACGGAGGGUGCGAACGUUAAUCGGAAUCACUGGGCGUAAAGGGCGCGUAGGUGGCGCGGGUAGUCGUCGGUGAAAGCUCAGGGCUCAACCCUGAGUCGGCCGGUGAUACUCCCGUGCUUGAGUGUGGUAGAGGCCAAUGGAAUUCCGGGUGUAGCGGUGGAAUGCGUAGAGAUCCGGAAGAACACCGGUGGCGAAGGCGGUUGGCUGGGCCACAACUGACACUGAUGCGCGACAGCGUGGGGAGCAAACAGG